CCUGCCCAACAUCACUUAUUCUGCGGAGCUCCACUGCCAGCCACAUUGAGUGAACUCAUUCUGUCUGGUUCACUAAAAUACUAUUAUAAGCUCUUUUCGCCGCUGCCAAUUCUGGGCUCUUUCGAUCUCCGUCUUUAUGACGAUUGGCUCUGCAGAUUGCUUUUAAUACAGUCUUAGCAUUUUGCGCUAUUUCCUAGCCGGAUGCUGUAUAACUAAAUCCGUCUUUACGUUCCGACUUUCAGAAGUACUCAAGACAAAGCUGUACAUGCCAAAAAAACGCGAAACCGUUUUUGGUAUCUGCAAGAUCCCUCAGUUCUCAUUUGAUCCAACUUUCUCAUUACUUUUGUCAACGGUUUAUGCUCUCGAUCAAUUACAUAGCUGCGCCGGCUGAUAUCAAAGAUAUGUACCGCUGUAAUGAAAACACACUGAUCAGGAUAAAACAGUUUUAUUUCUGCUUGCACCCGUAAAAACCCUCAGUUGAUUUUCUUUAACAGAAAAAUGAUAACAUACUGCCUCUUCGAGCACACAUAAGUCUUUGCAGAGUGGAGGGUUAUUUUUACUUCACUUCAAAGUUGUUGAUAAAUCCCCGUAGCUACUUUACUUGUCUUUCUUCUGUGUUAAGACAGCUUCGUAUUUGGAUUUUGAAGAGAA